UCUUACAUCUGAUACCAGCUGCCCCGCCCCUCUGGAUGAACAGAGGGUGGUGAUUGGCUGAUGUGUGAUAAGACGGGCUCUUAAAUGUCCUGAUACCCAAAGCUCUGCAUCCACCUGUCGUUUGGACAACAGGUAAAAGAGAAGCCACUUGCAUCAUUUCCAUCAGCUCAUCUGUUAGAGAAGAACAUCAGAGACUUGCUGAUAGCUGGUAGAAGUUCACAUUCCUUGUUGACAUGAGGAAUUUCCUGUUUGCAGUUACUCUGCUCCUUCUGGCUGGAGGAGCUCUGGGGGUUGGAAAACUUAUUCCACCACCAAAAGCAAAACCAACAGAGUUCAAUUUUGGAGACAUCAUUAGAUUCACAGGGCACUAUGGAGUGGCUCUUGGAGAGCGAGAUGGAAAAGGAAGAGAACUGUUUUUCCACAAGAUAAAAGAUCCAGCAGGAGGACCCACCUGUGAAAUUUCGACAUUGAGCACUAACACCCAGGGCCGCAAAAAAGACAAUUACCAAGAUGCUGGGCAUGAGCUUACAUCGGAUGAAUCCCAGGCUAUACGAAAGAGACUGGAAGAAUGCAAAGGAUAUCAUCGCAACGAUAUAAGGGCAAUAAACAAGUGUUGUGGAAGUUACGACAUGCUCACCAACAACUGCGAACACACAGCCACUUAUAUCCGAUAUGGAGCGCAGGGAAGAGUGUCCUGUCUGGUUAGGAGCGGGGCCAAGGACAAGGUCAAACUUCACAUUCCUAAGAAAUGUGCCCACUGGGUAGACCUGUUUCCAUGAUUUUAUGUUCUGAGACUCAUCUUGGAAUAAAACGUGAUAGCAUUACA
rnacentral:lncRNA from 1 species